GACGAACGCUGGCGGCGUGCUUAACACAUGCAAGUCGAACGGUGAAGCGCCUUCCUUUUUGGUGGGUGUGGAUGAGUGGCGAACGGGUGAGUAACACGUGAGUAACCUGCCCCCUUCUUCUGGAUAACCGCAUGAAAGUGUGGCUAAUACGGGAUAUUCUGGGUCUGUCGCAUGAUGGGUCUGGGAAAGAUAUUGUUUCGGUGGGGGAUGGGCUCGCGGCCUAUCAGCUUGUUGGUGGGGUGAUGGCCUACCAAGGCGGUGACGGGUAGCCGGCCUGAGAGGGUGGACGGGCACACUGGGACUGAGACACGGCCCAGACUCCUACGGGAGGCAGCAGUGGGGAAUAUUGCACAAUGGGCGCAAGCCUGAUGCAGCGACGCCGCGUGAGGGAUGGAGGCCUUCGGGUUGUGAACCUCUUUCGCCAGUGAAGCAGGCCUGCCUCGUUUGUGGGUGGGUUGACGGUAGCUGGAUAAGAAGCGCCGGCUAACUACGU
rnacentral:rRNA from 1 species